AUUAGGGAUGUAACGAUGAACCACGAGCCGAUUGAAAAUCGAUUCAAAUAUGUGACGAUUCAAAUCGGUUGAGAUGCCAAACAAAUCGCG